GAUGAACGCUAGCGGCGCGCUUAAUGCAUGCAAGUCGAGCGAUGAGGCACCUUCGGGUGCCAUCAGCGGCAGACGGGUGAGUAACACGUAGGUGACCUACCCUGGAGAUGGGGAUAACGGAUGGAAACAUGCGCUAAUACCCAAUGAACUUGAGGUAUCGCAACUUCAAGGAAAGCUUUGGUGCUUCAGGAGGGGCCUGCGGCCUAUCAGCUAGUUGGUGAGGUAACGGCCCACCAAGGCGACGACAGGUAGGGAGUGUGAGAGCACGGCCCCCCACAAUGGGACUGAGACACGGCCCAUACUCCUACGGGAGGCAGCAGCAGGGAAUAUUGCACAAUGGACGGAAGUCUGAUGCAGCGACGCCGCGUGGACGAAGAAGGCCUUCGGGUUGUAAAGUCCUUUUCAGGGGGAAGAGACAGGACGGUAC
rnacentral:rRNA from 1 species